UACGGGGGGAGCAAGCGUUGUUCGGAAUCACUGGGCGUAAAGGGCGUGUAGGCGGUCAGGUAAGUGGAAUGUGAAAUCCCUCGGCUCACCCGAGGACCUGCAUCCCAAACUGCCUGGCUUGAGUAUGGGAGAGGAUGAGGGAAUUCCUGGUGUAGCGGUGAAAUGCGUAGAUAUCAGGAGGAACACCGGUGGCGAAGGCGCUCAUCUGGCCCAAUACUGACGCUGAGGCGCGAAAGCUAGGGGAGCAAACGGG
rnacentral:rRNA from 1 species